CCUACGGGUGGCAGCAGUGAGGAAUAUUGGUCAAUGGUCGGGAGACUGAACCAGCCAAGCCGCGUGAGGGAUGAAGGUACAGAGUAUCGUAAACCUCUUUUGUCAGGGAACAAAGGCGGGGACGCGUCCCCGGAUGAGUGUACCUGAAGAAAAAGCAUCGGCUAACUCCGUGCCAGCAGCCGCGGUAAUACGGAGGAUGCGAGCUUUAUCCGGUUUUAUUGGGUUUAAAGGGUGCGCGGGCGGUCUGUUAAGACAGCGGUAAAAGCCCGGGGCUCAACCCCGGCCCGCCGUUGAAACUGGCAGUCUCGAGUUGGAGAGAAGUAUGCGGAAUGCGCGGUGUAGCAGUGAAAUGCAUAGAUAUCGCGCAGAACUCCGAUUGCGAAGGCAGCAUGCCGGCUCCACACUGACGCUGAGGCACGAAAGCGUGGGUAUCGAACAGGAUUAGAUACCCUAGUAGUC
rnacentral:rRNA from 1 species